rnacentral:lncRNA from 1 species
AUGGUAUUGCAGCUUCCCACUGGGGUUGACAGAGCUGGUGCUCAGGUAAUCAACAUUUUGCUGAGCCUACGAGGAAGCAUUUGGGACAACUUCACAAUGCAUAUUGGUGCUUCUUCUUCCUGCUGCCUUGUGAAGAAGGUGCCUGGCUUGCCCUUCACUUUCUGCCAUGAUCAUAAGUUUCUUGAGGCCUCCUCAGCUAUGCUGAACUGCUGGUUUUGUACUCCUAGCCUCAAGAUAGCCUCCUGUUUCCACCUCCCAAUGUGCUGGAAUUACAGGUAUGCACCACCAUGCCUGGCCCAUGUUGCAUAAAACUUAAACCUACCAUCUUUCAUUAGCAUAUUGUGAACUGCAUGAUUCUCAGUAUGGGCCAGAUAUGAGUUUCCCUUUGCUGAUACAAUAAUUCCAAAAUUAUCUUUGCUUUCAAGUUUUAUUUAGGCUGAUUAGG